UACGGAGGAUCCGAGCGUUAUCCGGAUUUAUUGGGUUUAAAGGGUGCGCGGGCGGGAGAUUAAGUCGGCGGUGAAAUUUUGCAGCUCAACUGUAAAAGUGCCUUCGAAACUGGUUUCCUUGAGUGUAGAUGAAGUAGGCGGAAUUUGUGGUGUAGCGGUGAAAUGCAUAGAUAUCACGAGGAACUCCGAUUGCGCAGGCAGCUUACUAAACUACUACUGACGCUCAGGCACGAAGGCGUAGGGAUCAAACAGGAUUAGAUACCCGCGUAGUCCCU
rnacentral:rRNA from 1 species